AAUGAACGCUGGCGGCAUGCCUAACACAUGCAAGUCGAACGAAGUCUUCGGACUUAGUGGCGCACGGGUGCGUAACGCGUGGGAAUCUGCCCUUGGGUACGGAAUAACUCAGAGAAAUUUGUGCUAAUACCGUAUAAUGUCUUCGGACCAAAGAUUUAUCGCCCAAGGAUGAGCCCGCGUAGGAUUAGGUAGUUGGUGAGGUAAAAGCUCACCAAGCCGACGAUCCUUAGCUGGUCUGAGAGGAUGAUCAGCCACACUGGGACUGAGACACGGCCCAGACUCCUACGGGAGGCAGCAGUGGGGAAUAUUGGACAAUGGGCGAAAGCCUGAUCCAGCAAUGCCGCGUGAGUGAUGAAGGCCUUAGGGUUGUAAAGCUCUUUUACCAGAGAUGAUAAUGACAGUAUCUGGAGAAUAAGCUCCGGCUAACUUCGUG
rnacentral:rRNA from 1 species